rnacentral:rRNA from 1 species
AGUGAACGCUGGCGGUAGGCCUAACACAUGCAAGUCGAACGGCAGCACAGUAAGAGCUUGCUCUUACGGGUGGCGAGUGGCGGACGGGUGAGGAAUACAUCGGAAUCUACUUUUUCGUGGGGGAUAACGUAGGGAAACUUACGCUAAUACCGCAUACGACCUACGGGUGAAAGCAGGGGAUCUUCGGACCUUGCGCGAUUGAAUGAGCCGAUGUCGGAUUAGCUAGUUGGCGGGGUAAAGGCCCACCAAGGCGACGAUCCGUAGCUGGUCUGAGAGGAUGAGAGGCGACAUAGGGACGGAGAGAAGGCACAGACGGGGAAGGGAGGAAGAAGGGGGGAAGAUUGAACAAGCGGUACAAGGCGGAUGAAGCAGCGCUGCGUGGGGGAAAGCGGCUUUGGGGGUGAAAACAAGUAGCAGGAGGGAAGCAGGUUGGUGUGACGGUACCCAAAGAAGAAGCACCGGCUAACUACGUG